CAGACACCCCCGGAUCCCCAGAUCCCACAGCGUGCAUUCUCCCUCGUGGCAAAGGACACUGGGCCGCCUGCGUUGCCACAGGAACUCACUCCUCCGUGGGCUGAGGGCAUUGGCAGCUGAUGGAGAAGAUCAAAGUGGGACGUUGGUCUGCUUGGCCUGCCCUGGCUGGCAUUUGCAGGGCACUUGCCUGCUGCCCCCUGGACCUCGUGGUACCCAUGAGAGCCAGGUCUCCUUGUCUUCAGCCUGGAUAAGGACACAGAGAGGGGGCGGUGGACAACCUGGCUGGGCCCUUCCUGGACUCCUGGGCUCACCAUGACCUCUGUGGACACAGCUUGGCCUUCUUCACUCGGGGACCAGCCAUCCCUCCCCACCCGGCACCCCGAAUGCUCUGACAGGCUCUGUUAACUCCUUCCUUGACCCUGGAAUGCACCUCCCGUGAGUCUGCCCAGGUGAACCCCUCCCACACUCACCCCAGGCCUAGCACCAGCCACAACUCUUCCCCUGCCCUCCCCUGCUGCCUCCCCUCCCCCUUUCUUCCUUCCUCUGGAGGCCACCCCUCCCCUGCUGCCUCCCUGGGUUUCCCCCUUCUCUUCCCUUGCUGUCCCCCAGCAUCUGCCUUCAAAUCCUUCCCCACCACACCCAGACCCCCCAGGCCAGCUGCUCCAUAGGAUAUGACAACUGUAUUACUUAUUUAUUUAUUUGUUGAGACAGGGUCUCACUCUUGUCACCCAGGCUGGAGUGCAGUGGCACGAUCUGGGCUCACUGCAGUCUUGACCUCCCAAGGCUCAGGUGAUCCUCCCACUUCAGCCUCUCGAGUAGCUGGGACCACAGGCGUGAGCCACCAAACUCAGUUAAUUUUUGUAUUUUUUUGUAGAGAUGGGAUUUUGCCAUGUUGUCCAGGCUGGUCUUGAACUCCUGGGCUCAAGCGCUGUGCCUGCCUCAGCCUCCCAGAGUGCUGGGAUUACAGGUGGGAGCCACAGCGCCUGCCUGGAUAUGGUAUCUUUACUCGGGGCCAGG
rnacentral:lncRNA from 1 species